rnacentral:rRNA from 1 species
GACGAACGCUGGCGGCGUGCUUAACACAUGCAAGUCGAACGGAAAGGCCCUGCUUUUGUGGGGUGCUCGAGUGGCGAACGGGUGAGUAACACGUGAGUAACCUGCCCUUGACUUUGGGAUAACUUCAGGAAACUGGGGCUAAUACCGGAUAGGAGCUCCUGCUGCAUGGUGGGGGUUGGAAAGUUUCGGCGGUUGGGGAUGGACUCGCGGCUUAUCAGCUUGUUGGUGGGGUAGUGGCUUACCAAGGCUUUGACGGGUAGCCGGCCUGAGAGGGUGACCGGCCACAUUGGGACUGAGAUACGGCCCAGAAUCCUACGGGAGGCAGCAGUGGGGAAUAUUGCACAAUGGGCGGAAGCCUGAUGCAGCAACGCCGCGUGCGGGAUGACGGCCUUCGGGUUGUAAACCGCUUUCGCCGGUGACGAAGCGGGAGUGACGGUAGUGGGUAAAGAAGCACCGGCUAACUACGUG